rnacentral:rRNA from 1 species
GACGAACGCUGGCGGCAUGCCUAACACAUGCAAGUCGAACGAGACCUUCGGGUCUAGGGGCGAACGGGUGCGUAACGCGGGGGAACCUGCCCGCAGGUUCGGAAUAACUCCCCGAAAGGGGUGCUAAUACCGGAUAAUGUCUUCGGACCAAAGAUUUAUCGCCUUUGGAUGGGCCCGCGUUGGAUUAGCUAGUUGGUAGGGUAAAAGCCUACCAAGGCGACGCUCCAUAGCUGGUCUGAGAGGAUGAUCAGCCACGCUGGGACUGAGACACGGCCCAGACUCCUACGGGAGGCAGCAGUGGGGAAUAUUGGACGCUGGGCGAAAGCCUGAUCCAGCCGUGCCGCGUGAGUGAUGAAGGCCUUAGGGUUGUACAGCUCUUUUACCCGAGAUGAUAAUGACGGUACCGGGAGAAUAAGCUCCGGCUAACUCCGUG